AUUGAACGCUAGCGGGAUGCUUUACACAUGCAAGUCGAACGGGUGGCGUACGGGUGAGUAAUGUAUCUGAACGUGCCCAGUAGAGGGGGAUAACUACUCGAAACAGUUGCUAAUACCGCCUACUAUUGGAUCGGCCGAUAUCGGAUUAGCUAGUUGGUGGGGUAAAGGCUCACCAAGGCAACGAUCCGUAGCUGGUUUGAGAGGACGACCAGCCACACUGGGACUGAGACACGGCCCAGACUCCUACGGGAGGCAGCAGUGGGGAAUUUUGGACAAUGGGGGAAACCCUGAUCCAGCCAUCCCGCGUGUAUGAGAAGGCCUUCGGGUUGUAAAGUACUUUUGGCAGAGAAGCGGUAUCUGCAGAAUAAGCACCGGCUAACUACGUGCCAGCAGCCGCGGUAAUAC
rnacentral:rRNA from 1 species